rnacentral:lncRNA from 1 species
AUUACAGGCAUUAAAGCUUUUCUUCCCAAGGUAUUUGCUUUCCAAAGAUUAGUUUUCCCAUGUUAGCUGUGGGAGGCAUCCCUUUCUGGUUAAAGAAGUGGCUCAUUCUGGAAAAACUUUAGUGCUCCCCCCAAAACACCCCAAAUCCCAGAGGUCAAGGGUCUGAAAUGUUACAUAUCCAACUGUGUCCUUUAAAGGCAACUCAACCGAAUACUCCUGGAGAAAGAAAGCUGAACAUUCUUGGAAGGGCUUGACUGUUAACAUUUGUUCUUAAUCUAUCAAAAUUCUCCUACUCAUGUUCACAGAGUUUCUGAGUAUUCUCUGAAGCCUUUUCAGAGCUGGAAAUCAGUCCAAUCCCAGUAGUAGGGUAGGAUUUAAAAGGACGGAGGAGGUGUCCUGUUGAUUUCUUUGUUUCCUUCAAUGUCAACAAGUAAGAAAACUCCAAGACCUUCUUUCUUAGAGAUUUUCUGGAAGUUCGAGAAGAGAGUUCACAAUGAGUUGGCCUUGCCUGAUGUGAUUUGUGAUAAACGGUAAGCCUCAGCAGUGUUUAAUGGCAAUUGGACAAAGCACACUCGGAAGAAUAUGGGAUAACUUCAUACAGCACUAAGAAGUUGUCGACAUAAAAGCGCAGGGAAUGUUAGGUGUCUGAGCGAUGGCAGAGGAGAGGAGCAGAAAAACAGAGUUACUGAAGAUGAGGAAACUGAUGUACGAAGAUGUUAUACGACUUGCCAGAUAACAUCAUCCAACAGCUGUCCUGCCAGGGAUUGUAAUUCAGGAACCGAUCUCAAGCUGAGCAGAGGAAAAAAUGAGAUGCUUAAUGAAAAUGGCCAAAUGUCAUUACCAGCUAUUUCGUGAGAAGAGCGGGAUCAGUAUCCACCCCUGCGUAAAAUGGGCUUUCUCCGACUUCCAGCCAUCUGCAGGGUCGUGAAGACUCGCAACUCUUACGUCUCCUGAGGGAGUCGUUUCAGUUUUAUGCUUUGCUUUUCUGAUGCUGAGAAAUACAGACACUCGCGAUUUACUACUGGGCGCUUUCAGGGAUGGAGUCAACUAUUUUCUAAGAAACUCAAAGGC